rnacentral:rRNA from 1 species
ACGGAAGGCAGCAGUGGGGAAUAUUGCGCAAUGGGGGAAACCCUGACGCAGCAACGCCGCGUGAAGGAAGAAGGUCUUCGGAUUGUAAACUUUUGUCUUCAGGGACGAUAAUGACGGUACCUGAGGAGGAAGCUCCGGCUAACUACGUGCCAGCAGCCGCGGUAAUACGUAGGGAGCGAGCGUUGUCCGGAAUUACUGGGUGUAAAGGGUGCGUAGGCGGCUUUAUAAGUCAGAAGUGAAAUGUACGGGCUUAACCCGUGAACUGCUUUUGAAACUAUUUAGCUUGAGUGAUGGAGAGGUAAGCGGAACUCCUAGUGUAGCGGUGAAAUGCGUAGAUAUUAGGAAGAACACCAGUGGCGAAGGCGGCUUACUGGACAUUUACUGACGCUGAGGCACGAAAGCGUGGGGAGCAAACAGGAUUAGAUACCCUGGUA